rnacentral:rRNA from 2 species
CACACGACUCUCGGCAACGGAUAUCUCGGCUCUCGCAUCGAUGAAGAACGUAGCGAAAUGCGAUACCUGGUGUGAAUUGCAGAAUCCCGCGAACCAUCGAGUCUUUGAACGCAAGUUGCGCCCGAGGCCACUCGGCCGAGGGCACGCCUGCCUGGGCAUCACGC